UGGGGAAUAUUGCACAAUGGGCGCAAGCCUGAUGCAGCCAUGCCGCGUGUAUGAAGAAGGCCUUCGGGUUGUAAAGUACUUUCAGCGGGGAGGAAGGGAGUAAAGUUAAUACCUUUGCUCAUUGACGUUACCCGCAGAAUAAGCACCGGCUAACUCCGUGCCAGCAGCCGCGGUAAUACGGAGGGUGCAAGCGUUAAUCGGAAUUACUGGGCGUAAAGCGCACGCAGGCGGUUUGUUAAGUCAGAUGUGAAAUCCCCGGGCUCAACCUGGGAACUGCAUCUGAUACUGUCAAGCUUGAGUCUCGUAGAGGGGGGUAGAAUUCCAGGUGUAGCGGUGAAAUGCGUAGAGAUCUGGAGGAAUACCGGUGGCGAAGGCGGCCCCCUGGAAGAAGACUGACGCUCAGGUGCGAAAGCGUGGGGAGCAAACAGG
rnacentral:rRNA from 1 species